rnacentral:rRNA from 1 species
GGGGAGGCCAUAGUGGCGAAAGGGAGAGUAACGCGUGGUUACAUGCCCUCGAGUCCGGGAUAGCGGCGGGAAACUGCCCGGUAAUACCGGAUAAUAUCUUUGGAUCAAAGGUGUGAUUCCGCUCGAGGAUUGGACCGCGUUCUAUUAGCUUGUUGGCGGGGUAAUGGCCCACCAAGGCGACGAUGGAUACCGGGUGUGAGAGCAUGGCCCGGCUCACUGGGACUGAGACACUGCCCAGACACCUACGGGUGGCUGCAGUCGAGAAUCUUCGGCAAUGGGGGCAACCCUGACCGAGCGACGCCGCGUGCGGGACGAAGGCCUUCGGGUUGUAAACCGCUGUCAGUUGGGAGGAAAUGCUGGGGGGUUCUCCCCUCAGUUUGACCGAUCUUCAGAGGAAGGACGGGCUAAGUUCGUGCCAGCAGCCGCGGUAAGACGAACCGUCCAAACGUUAUUCGGUAUCACUGGGCUUAAAGCGUGCGUAGGCGGCCUAGUAGGUGAGGUGUGAAAUCCCACGGCUCAACCGUGGAACUGCGCUUCAAACCACUAGGCUCGAGGAUGGCAGGGGUGAUGGGAACUGAUGGUGGAGCGGUGAAAUGCGUUGAUAUCAUCAGGAACACCGGUGGCGAAGGCGCAUCACUGGGCCAUUUCUGACGCUGAGGCACGAAAGCUAGGGUAGCGAACGGGAUUAGAUACCCCGGUAGUCCUAGCCGUAAACGAUGAGCACUAGGUCGAGGGGA